rnacentral:rRNA from 1 species
GUCGAGCGAGUGUAUCCAGAGCUUGCUCUUAUGAAGUUAGCGGCGGACGGGUGAGUAACACGUGGGUAACCUGCCCAUAAGACUGGGAUAACUCCGGGAAACCGGGGCUAAUACCGGAUAACAUUUUGAACCGCAUGGUUCGAAAUUGAAAGGCGGCUUCGGCUGUCACUUAUGGAUGGACCCGCGUCGCAUUAGCUAGUUGGUGAGGUAACGGCUCACCAAGGCAACGAUGCGUAGCCGACCUGAGAGGGUGAUCGGCCACACUGGGACUGAGACACGGCCCAGACUCCUACGGGAGGCAGCAGUAGGGAAUCUUCCGCAAUGGACGAAAGUCUGACGGAGCAACGCCGCGUGAGUGAUGAAGGCUUUCGGGUCGUAAAACUCUGUUGUUAGGGAAGAACAAGUGCUAGUUGAAUAAGCUGGCACCUUGACGGUACCUAACCAGAAAGCCACGGCUAACUACGUGCCAGCAGCCGCGGUAAUACGUAGGUGGCAAGCGUUAUCCGGAAUUAUUGGGCGUAAAGCGCGCGCAGGUGGUUUCUUAAGUCUGAUGUGAAAGCCCACGGCUCAACCCGGGAGGGUCAUUGGAAACUGGGAGACUUGAGUGCACAAGAGGAAAGCGCAAUUCCCUAUGUAGCGGCGUAAAAGCGGGAGAGAUAUUGAGGGA